UACAGAGGGUGGCGAGCGUUGUUCGGAAUUACUGGGCGUAAAGCGCGUGUAGGCGGUCUGGAAAGUCAGGUGUGAAAUCCUGGGGCUUAACCCCAGUCGUGCACUUGAAACUUCCAGGCUUGAGUAUGGGUAGAGGAUGUGGGAAUACCCAGUGUAGAGGUGAAAUUCGUAGAUAUUGGGUAGAACACCGGUGGCGAAGGCGCACAUCUGGGCCUAACUGACGCUGGAGACGCGAAAGCG
rnacentral:rRNA from 1 species